rnacentral:rRNA from 1 species
UACAGAGGGGGCAAGCGUUGUUCGGAAUUACUGGGCGUAAAGGGCGCGUAGGCGGUCCGAUAAGUCCCGUGUGAAAGCCCCCGGCUCAACUGGGGAACUGCACGGGAAACUGACGGACUUGAGUUCGGGAGAGGGAAGCGGAAUUCCGGGUGUAGCGGUGAAAUGCGUAGAUAUCCGGAGGAACACCGGUGGCGAAGGCGGCUUCCUGGACCGACACUGACGCUGAGGCGCGAAAGCUAGGGGAGCAAACGGG